GACGAACGCUGGCGGCGUGCCUAAUACAUGCAAGUCGAGCGAGCGGAACUAACAGAUUUACCUCGGUAAUGACGUUAGGAAAGCGAGCGGCGGAUGGGUGAGUAACACGUGGGGAACCUGCCCCAUAGUCUGGGAUACCACUUGGAAACAGGUGCUAAUACCGGAUAAGAAAGCAGAUCGCAUGAUCAGCUUUUAAAAGGCGGCGUAAGCUGUCGCUAUGGGAUGGCCCCGCGGUGCAUUAGCUAGUUGGUAAGGUAAAGGCUUACCAAGGCGAUGAUGCAUAGCCGACUUGAGAGACUGAUCGGCCACAUUGGGACUGAGACACGGCACAAACUCCUACGGGAGGCAGCAGUAGGGAAUCUUCCACAAUGGACGCAAGUCUGAUGGAGCAACGCCGCGUGAGUGAAGAAGGUUUUCGGAUCGUAAAGCUCUGUUGUUGGUGAAGAAGGAUAGAGGUAGUAACUGGCCUUUAUUUGACGGUAAUCAACCAGAAAGUCACGGCUAACUACGUG
rnacentral:rRNA from 1 species